rnacentral:piRNA from 1 species
UGCCUUCGCCUCAGUUCUAGGUUCAUUGU